rnacentral:tRNA from 1 species
GCCCCAUUAACUCAGUUGGUUAGAGUGCGGUGCUUAUACGCAGCGACGCGUGUACGCGAGCGCGACGAGAGUCGCGCGAGAGCAACGCCGAAGCCGCGGGAUCGAGACCCGCAUGGGGCA